rnacentral:lncRNA from 1 species
UGCUGAGGCUUCUUGUCACAUUUCUGUGGUUGGGAAACUCUGGUUUUCACCCUCUUGCUAUGCAGUCCUAUUGGAUCCUCUGUGGCUGGUAGGGAGGGGAGUUGGAGGUGGGGUGGUUUGGGAAAGGGAAAUUGGUUGAUUUCUCAGGAUUUGGUUUCAGCGGCCUCAUCUUUGCCUGGACCCCUCAAUCUGCAGAGAACCUUUCAGGGAGGUAGAUGUGGUGGAACAUAUCUGUGAUUCUUGCUGCCUAAGACUUGUGGAGCAAUUGAAUUCAGGAGUUUUGAGCUUCAGUGAGCUGAGUCUGUGCUGAGCCUGACCACCAAUGUGGUGAGCCAAUAUCUGGAAGGGGUUAGGGACAUGGGGAUGCCUAAGGAAGGGCAAAGUGGCUGUUUACAAAACUGAUCC